UUCGCCAUCCUUCUCUCUCAGCCUCUCACAUCCUGCUUCAUUUCCUAUGAAACCAAUCUUGGCCCAAAAUCCGUAAUACCCAAAUCAAAAAACCAAACACCUCAACCCCAAAUACCUCCUCCAAUCUCACGUGCUCUCUCGACUUCUUGCUUAGCAAUCAGUUGCUUGUCGCGCGCACUGGAUUUCUGUUUAGCAAUCUAAUCUUGUGGCUCGUUAGAAAUUGAAUGGGUACCAGGCUUCGAUCAAAUUUGUAGAUUGCAGAGGUCUUCGUUUUGAGUUAUAUUUGCAGGUCUCCUGUUUGUUGCAGUUGCGUUUGGGUCUUAAAGGCUCCUGCUGAUGCGAAGAAACCUUUGUAUCUUCAAUUUCCGAAGCUGGAGGAGGAUUAUGGUCUAGCAAAGCGGGCUAUGAAGGUCUACCCAAACAAUGAAACCAUGAUAAUAUUGACGGCCUUUGCUUCUAAAACCAGAUAUUCAAGCUUCAACUUACAAACGCAGACCUCCUUCUUCUCCUUUUCUCCUCUUCACUUUGUUCCCUGUGGCGCCUCUUCAAUCCUGGUCAAUAUUGCACAUAAUCAUCCAAUUCAAAUCACACAAACCCUGAAUCACAUCAUCCAAUUUAUAUGAAACAGAAAGGGUUUUGUUUUCUCACUUUGUACAAGAACAAACUGUCGUUCUUCCUCUUUUGAUUUUAUUUAUACUUUUGAU